GCUUCAUUGGUCGAGUGGCUAGGCGAACAUCUCUAAAGUGUUAAUACGUGGGUUCGAAUCCUACAUGAAGCG
rnacentral:tRNA from 1 species